rnacentral:rRNA from 1 species
AACGAACGCUGGCGGCGUGCUUAACACAUGCAAGUCGAACGUGAAAGGCUUCGGCCGAGUAAAGUGGCGCACGGGUGAGUAACGCGUGGGUAAUCUGCCCUUGGGCGGGGGAUAACCUCUCGGAAAGGGGGCUAAUACCGCAUGAGACCACGGCUUCUCGGGGCUGUGGGAAAAGGUGGGUCGCAAGGCCUGCCACCUGAGGAUGAGCCCGCGUACCAUUAGGUUGUUGGUGGGGUAAUGGCCUACCAAGCCGAAGAUGGUUAGCUGGUCUGAGAGGACGAUCAGCCACACUGGGACUGAGACACGGCCCAGACUCCUACGGGAGGCAGCAGGUGGGGAAUAUUGCGCAAUGGGGGAAACCCUGACGCAGCAACGCCGCGUGUGUGAAGAAGGCC